AGCCCCUCCGCCGCAGCCCCACCAUGGUCUCCAGCCCCUCCUCCUUCUGCCCGCUGAGCUCCCGGGCCGGCGGCGGGAGAGAGACGCCAGGGCGGCGGAGAGCUGCCCCUACCCUGCCUGAGGCUGCCGUCCCCUGAGGGGCACCAUGGCGGAGCCCGCCCGAGGGAUCCGUCCCCUCAGGGGCGCGAAGGGCGCGAUGGCGGAGCCCGCCUGAGGGAUCCGUCCCCUCAGGGGCGCCGUGGCAGAGCCCCCUCCAGCUGCGGUGCGAGGGAGCGCCACACUCCUCGCUUCUUCUCUUCAUGGGCUUAAAAUACUCGCAAACGCAAGGCAAGAGCUCUGGUCGUGCCUUAUAAUUUAGAAGUUUAUGUGCCGUUCUGCAGGGUCUGCGGCGUGUUAGAGGAACUCAAAAAAGUCCCUCCCAAAUCGUUCAGCUUCAGGACCAUACACCCAGAAAAGACUGGAAUUAUUUUAAACGCCAUUCUAUCCACCACUGCUACUCUUUCAUAUAAAAAAAAAUAAAAUGUUUUUUCAAGGGCCGUGUCUGUUUUGCACAAGUAGGAAAAGAAGCAAAUGUGUUUGUUCCAUGCUAGUGGUGGAACUGGGGGCAAAAAGCACAAAAAAUCACUUCUGUCUCAGUGGACCUGCCAGGCGUCCUGAAAAUCGGCCGUAGAUGAGCUUUGGGUGGGUUUUCUCCUACUUUCAUAAAGCACAGGUACAGGUCACUCCUUGCACUCUGGUUGCUGUGUUCUAUGCUGGUGGUGGGGAGAUAAAAGAAUUGCAGAAGAUGAUGGGACAGACCAGCAGAGGACACUGGGAAAAAAAAAAAAGAAAUCAAAAAAGAAGAGCAGAAAAUCCCUCAAAACCAGAUAGUCAUCUUUCUGCAGAGAUCUCAGUUUCCAAUCCAGAGAUCUCUGCAGGCCCAGGUGUGCCCACAAUGGAGUGGGUGCAGCAUUGUGCUGACAUCCAAAACUGUCCUGAUUUCCUGACUUUGUAUCCCUGAUCCUUUACCCUGCCCAGGUCAUUCUCAGCUGAUCCUUAGCAAACAGACUCCAAGUCCUUUUAUUGCUGCUGUGACUCAUAGAAAAUAAGGAUCAGGCGCACCUUUUCCAUGAAAACCCUGAUGAACUGACUGCCCGAGCGCUUCAGGACUUGGAUCGCGGGCUUAGUGACUGCAGCUUCCCAGGGCUGAGGUCACGCAUGAGGAGCGUUUUUGGGCAUGUGCUGGUGCCGUACGUCAUCCUGGCUGCCCCUGCCUCUCCAAGGAUGCCAGAUUUGAUGUGCAUCAGAGAUUCCACUGCGCUGGAGAAUUUCCAUGGACUUCAGCACAAGGGCAGAAAAUCUCGGAAACAAAACAAGCAAAGGGGAAGAAAAAACCCACCAUAAUCAGCAGGAAAUUCAGGAAAGAGUUUCAGUUCUCAGAGAGGGGCAAAGAGCUGAGGAACGUUGGAUAACAUCAGUUAAUGCUUUGAGGGCGACAUGCCAGGGAAAGCACCGAUCCCAGAAGGUAACUCCGACCUUAUGCAUGUGAUUAAUGUAUAUUAAUCUCCCCAAAGGCACAAUGGCAGGUGGAGAACAACAUUAACCUAAUCAGAUAACAGAGCCACCAAACAAGGGUGACACCACCGCAGUGAGUCACCAGAAAGGCUCUCUGGCUCCUACAGGAGGGUGCUGCACAGGUGACCCUUCCAGUUUUCAUCCUAAAGAGCCAGAAAAAAAAAAUUAAACUGCAAAAUUAGCGCUCUGACGAAUGAGAGGCGAAGGAAAAGCUUGUCAAAUCAGAGAGCGACAUGCUCUGAGGGAUAAGAGUCAAAGGAAAAGCUUCUGAAAGCAGAGGAAAAAUGGGAUUUAAAAAAAAAAAAAAGGAAGGAAGAU